rnacentral:rRNA from 1 species
UACGUAGGGUGCGAGCGUUGUCCGGAAUCAUUGGGCGUAAAGAGCGUGUAGGCGGCCCGAUAAGUCCGCCGUGAAAGUCCAGGGCUCAACCCUGGGAUGCCGGUGGAAACUGUCGGGCUAGAGUCCGGAAGAGGCGAGUGGAAUUCCUGGUGUAGCGGUGAAAUGCGCAGAUAUCAGGAGGAACACCAAUGGCGAAGGCAGCUCGCUGGGACGGUACUGACGCUGAGACGCGAAAGCGUGGGGAGCAAACAGG